rnacentral:rRNA from 1 species
GCUUACGCCACACCACCUGAACACGCCCGAUCUCGUCCGAUCUCGGAAGCUAAGCAGGGUCGGCCUGGUUAGUACUUGGAUGGGAGACCGCCUGGGAAUACCAGGUGCUGUAAGUU